ACAACGAGCAGAACACUUUGCUGCAUAGACAGACAGACAGACAGAGAAGCUUGUUAGAUUCAUAUAAAUACCCUAGUUGCUCUUUUUGUUGACACUUUUUCCAUUGCCUUUGCGUAUGUAUUUACCACUUUAAGGCAGUAUGUAUUCCAAUGAGCUUAGCAUUAUUUUAUUGAAUUUUUUUAAUCUUUUUUUUUCUGUACAGUUUUGUAAUAUAAACAUCAAAAUACAGAUAAAACACUCACUUGCACACUUCAUAUUUCAUAUGCAAAACCUCACACAGUGUCACAGGAAAUUAUUAUAUCUGUCUUGGGAUGAACAAUCCAGCCAGAGCAGCAUCUCGUUCCACACACGUUCGGCCUGCGGAAAAAUAGAUUGAUUACUGAUGCACUCACUGGACAGAGGGCUGGGGGCAGUUUUGUUCCAGAUGGAGGAGAGGGAGGAGCCCUCUGUGCUGUACAUCAGCUGGAAGCUAUCAAUAAGAGACACCAAAUACAGCAUGAUUGAGAAGGUGUGUGCCUGGGCAAGUGGGUCAUCCUCAUCCACUAAUACUACCUACUAGCGCACACUUCUAGACUCUGUUUCAAUCACUUCCACUCCAAUGGCUCCACUGCAUGAAUGUUAUCAACACAUGGAUUACUUUUUGGCAUCUAACACUUCAGCCAUUCAAAUUUGAGGUAGUUCACAGACCAGGGCCACAGACAGUGGUGACAGAUUAUUGGAAAGGAGACUCCAUGAGUGGAAUUAUGUGGUGGCAGGGGCAUGAACAAGUGCCUGUUGUGGACAGAAAGGAGGCAGGUUCUCCACCGGAUGCAUGGCUUAGUCAGGGAUGCAUACGUUUCAGGAGUCAAGUGAUGAACAUCCCAAGAUCCACCAGCUCGAUGAUUUGUUCUGUGUACCACUCCCCUGACCCCAACAACCGGUGACAUGGGUGGCCAAUCUCUGGGACUUGCAGCAACCAGAAGCAUUGGACAUUGCUCCUCAGAUGACUGGCCUUUGUGCUGGAAUACUCCAACUGCGUCCAUGGUAGCAGCUGCUGGCUAGCGAUCUGGGCUACCCCCAUAGAAAAGGCAGAAGUCACAGAGUUCAUUCCUCCUCUGGGCAUCCCCAUACAGCUGUUGCAUGCUCAAACAGCUCCAGGAAGGCCUCUGAGUCAUCCUUGGAAGCCAUCUUGGUGAGCUUAAUGUGUAGCAAGGGGACACAGCUGGAAAUGUGGUGGGCUGCAGCAGCUUAUGAUGUGCCCACUGGCUCUUAGCCUGCUCUUGAUUGAGGGUUUGAAGGACAGCUGCUGUUCAUUGCCCAGGUUGAGGAGUGAUUUUUGUUAGGUUUGGGUGAAGAGGGCAUGGGACUUUAAAAACUUGCCAAUUUGAGAGGCUCCAAUGGGAUUGUAUGAAUCUUCACCAGACAUGGGUUUUGACACUACUGUAGGUUCCCCAGGGUGUGAAGGGGUGG